rnacentral:rRNA from 1 species
GACGAACGCUGGCGGCGUGCUUAACACAUGCAAGCCGAGCGGUAAGGCCCUUUCGGGGGUACACGAGCGGCGAACGGGUGAGUAACACGUGGGUGACCUGCCCUCAGCUCUGGGAUAAGCCUGGGAAACUGGGUCUAAUACUGGAUAUGACUCCACGGUGCAUGUCGUGGGGUGGAAAGCCUCGUGCGGCUGAGGAUGGGCCCGCGGCCUAUCAGCUUGUUGGUGGGGUGAUGGCCUACCAAGGCGACGACGGGUAGCCGGCCUGAGAGGGCGACCGGCCACACUGGGACUGAGACACGGCCCAGACUCCUACGGGAGGCAGCAGUGGGGAAUCUUGCGCAAUGGGCGAAAGCCUGACGCAGCGACGCCGCGUGAGGGAUGACGGCC